ACAGGGCGCAGUGGCACAUGCUUAUAGUCGCAGCUACUUGGGAGGCUGAGGCAGGAGGAUCACUUGAGCCCAGGAAUUCUGGGCUGUAGUGCGCUCUGCUGAUCGGGUGUCUGCACUAAGUUCGGCAUCAAUAUUGUGACCCUCUGGGAGUGGGGUACCACCAGGUUGCCUAAGGGGUGAACCAGCCCAGACAGGAAAUGGAGCAGGUCAAAACUCCUGUGCUGAUCAGUAGUGGGAUCGUGUUUGUGAAUAGCCACUGCACUCCAGCCUAGGCAACAUACCAAGACCCCAUCUCUU
ensembl:misc_RNA Metazoa_SRP Metazoan signal recognition particle RNA